rnacentral:rRNA from 2 species
CUAUACAUGCAGUCGAACGCGUCUUGGUCAAUGAUUUUAGGUGCUUGCACUUGACUGAUUUGACAUUGAGACGAGUGGCGAACUGGUGAGUAACACGUGGGUAACCUGCCCUUGAAGUAGAGGAUAACACUUGGAAACAGGUGCUAAUACUGCAUAACAACGAAAACCGCCUGGUUUUCGUUUGAAAGAUGGCUUCGGCUAUCGCUUUAGGAUGGACCCGCGGCGUAUUAGCUAGUUGGUGAGGUAACGGCUCACCAAGGCAAUGAUACGUAGCCGACCUGAGAGGGUAAUCGGCCACAUUGGGACUGAGACACGGCCCAAACUCCUACGGGAGGCAGCAGUAGGGAAUCUUCCACAAUGGACGAAAGUCUGAUGGAGCAACGCCGCGUGAGUGAUGAAGGGUUUCGGCUCGUAAAACUCUGUUGUUGGAGAAGAACGGGUGUCAGAGUAACUGUUGACAUCGUGACGGUAUCCAACCAGAAAGCCACGGCUAACUACGUGCCAGCAGCCGCGGUAAUACGUAGGUGGCAAGCGUUGUCCGGAUUUAUUGGGCGUAAAGCGAGCGCAGGCGGUUUUUUAGGUCUGAUGUGAAAGCCUUCGGCUUAACCGGAGAAGUGCAUCGGAAACCGGGAGACUUGAGUGCAGAAGAGGACAGUGGAACUCCAUGUGUAGCGGUGAAAUGCGUAGAUAUAUGGAAGAACACCAGUGGCGAAGGCGGCUGUCUGGUCUGCAACUGACGCUGAGGCUCGAAAGCAUGGGUAGCGAACAGGAUUAGAUACCCUGGUAGUCCAUGCCGUAAACGAUGAGUGCUAAGUGUUGGAGGGUUUCCGCCCUUCAGUGCUGCAGCUAACGCAUUAAGCACUCCG